rnacentral:tRNA from 1 species
GGAUCGUUAGCUCAAUUGGUAGAGCAGUUGGCUUUUAACCAAUAGGUUGCUGGUUCGAGUCCAGCACGAUCCA